rnacentral:rRNA from 1 species
GAGCACGUAGGUGGGUUUGUAAGUCAGAUGUGAAAGCCUUCUGUUCAACGGAAGAAUUGCAUCUGAAACUACAAACCUUGAGUAUAGGAGGGGAGAAUGGAACUUCUGGUGGAGCGGUGAAAUGCGUAGAUAUCAGAAGGAACGCCGGCGGCGAAAGCGAUUCUCUGGCCUAUUACUGACACUCAGUGUGCGAAAGCUAGGGGAGCAAACGGGAUUAGAUACCCCGGUAGUCCUAGCCGUAAACGAUGGGCACUAAGUAGAGGGAAUUACCGAUGUUCUCUCUGCCGUAGCUAACGCAUUAAGUGCCCCGCCUGGGGAGUACGGCCGCAAGGCUAAAACUCAAAAGAAUUGACGGGGGCUCGCACAAGCGGUGGAGCAUGUGGCUUAAUUCGAUGCAACGCGAAAAACCUUACCGGGGCUUGACAUGGUAGAAGUAGGAACCCGAAAGGGUAACGAACGGUAUCCAGUCCGUAGCUAUCACAGGUGUUGCAUGGCUGUCGUCAGCUCGUGUCGUGAGACGUUGGGUUAAGUCCCCUAACGAGCGAAACCCUUGUUUUUAGUUACCAGCGGGUUGUGCCGGGUACUCUAGAAAGACUGCCGUCGUCAAGACGGAGGAAGGUGGGGAUGACGUCAAGUCAUCAUGGCCCUUAUGCCCCGGGCUGCACACGUGCUACAAUGGUCGGUACAAACGGAAGCGAAGCCGAGAGGUGAAGCGAAUCC